UUGCGCAGUGAAAGGCAACAUUCAGUGCUCAGCCAUGUUUGGCAAAUGCAGGGUAUCGUAUCCAUGCCCGGCGGGUGAAACAAAAAUUGGAGAAUGCAAUAACGACGACCAUUGUUGUAUAAAGGCUGUUAUUAUAUCUGGAAUUAAGGACUGGUAGCCUGCUUUGUGGAUGUUCAAGAGGAGAAAUUCCUUCAUACUGCAUAUCAAGAAGACAUUGUAAAGUGACCAAUUUCAGACUUCUAUAAUAAAUUUGUUUUCUUUUGAAAUUGUA